GACGAUGAGAAGUGCUGUGGAGGAAAAUAAAGCCGGAAAGGAGAGAUGGAGUCUCAUGCUGUCACCCUGCUGGAGGAGUGCUGUGGCAUAAUGUUGGUUUAUUGCAGCCUCGAACACCACUUGGACUCAAGCAAUCCUCCCACCUGAGCCUCCCAAGUAUCUGGGACUACAUGCACGCACCACCACACCUGGCUAAUUUUUGUAUUUUUUGUAGAGACAAGGUCUCCUUAUGUUGCCCAGGCUGGUCUCGAACUACUGGGCUCCAGCAAUCUUCCCGCCUCAGCCUUCCAAAGUGCUAGGAUUACAGGCAUGAGCCACUGCUCCCAGCAUGGAAAUUUGGAUUUUAGAUGUGUUAACUUUGAGAUGCUUAACAGUCUAGUAAAACCGUACAGUUGAUAUUUCUAUUUUGUAGAUGAGGAAACUGAGGCACAGAGAGGUUAAAUGAUUUGCUCAGGGCCACACAUCUGAGAAGGUUUCACAUCCUCAGUCUGGUUCCAGCAUGUAUUCUCUCAAGCCCUCCACUACACUGGACUUGCAAUCUUCUAAGCUAAAAUGACUUCCCAU
rnacentral:lncRNA from 1 species